rnacentral:antisense_RNA from 1 species
GGGAGCUUGGAUGUGGAAGCUCUUUGGAAACCAAGAAACACUCUGCAAAUGAAAAGGCAUAAGAAUGUUUAUCACAGCAUGGCAUAUAUUGGAAGUUUAGUAAAUGAAGAUACAUCCAAUCUGACAUUCCAUUCACAACCACAAAGAGAUAAUGUAGAAACAUAUUUAGUAAUGUGAGAAAAUACUAAAUAUUAAGUGGAAAAAGGGUCUUUUAUUAUGUCUUCCUUGAAGUGCUCUGAUCAGAUCUGCAAUACUUGAGAUGUAAAUUCAACUCUACUUUUUUUUCUUUUAAAAAGAAGAGCAACAUAAUCCUUAGUGGUCCUAAAUAUUAUUCACCUUAUCUUAACAUUCAAUUUCUUUAUAUAGCAAAGGAAUGCAUUUUUAGCAAUGAAAUAAACAGCAAACAUUGACAUUGCUUAUUAACGGUAUUUAUGGUCGAUGUGCCCCACAUAUUCUGAAAGGUUAUGUUGUACAUUCUUUUAAGAAGACUUCAGGGUUUUCUACUGAAAGAAUUUGAAAAUCAAGACUUGGAAGGGUCCUGAGAGCAACAUUCUAUAGAGGAAAAGGCUAAACAGUACCCCAGAAUCUUCAGUAGCAGUGAUAGUAUGGCUUUGUUUUUCUUCACUGGACUAGGCUCCAUAACUAAGCAUCUUAUAUUUGGAAGUCCAAAUGCAUUUGUUUGUCUUCUUACAACAUAGAGAACACAUGCUUACAAAGUCGAAGGAGAGCAUUGACUAUUGUGACCUGUUUAACAUAUUUCUCCGCUUUGCUUCGGAUGAGAGAUUUCAAAUCUCAUCAUUAAUGUGG